rnacentral:rRNA from 1 species
UAAGGAAUAUUGGACAAUGGCCGCAAGGCUGAUCCAGCCAUGCCGCGUGAAGGAUGAAGGCCCUAUGGGUCGUAAACUUCUUUUGUACGGGAAAAAACCCCUCUAUGCGUAGAGGGCUGAUGGUACUGUACGAAUAAGCAUCGGCUAACUCCGUGCCAGCAGCCGCGGUAAUACGGAGGAUGCAAGCGUUAUCCGGAUUCAUUGGGUUUAAAGGGUGCGUAGGCGGAAUGAUAAGUCAGCGGUGAAAUCUCUGGGCUCAACGCAGAAACUGCCGUUGAUACUGUCGUUCUUGAGUACAGUUGAUGUGGGCGGAAUAUGACAUGUAGCGGUGAAAUGCUUAGAUAUGUCAUAGAACACCGAUUGCGAAGGCAGCUCACAAAACUGAAACUGACGCUGAGGCACGAAAGCGUGGGGAUCAAACA